rnacentral:rRNA from 1 species
AUUGAACGCUGGCGGCAGGCCUAACACAUGCAAGUCGAGCGGAUGAAGGGAGCUUGCUCCUGGAUUCAGCGGCGGACGGGUGAGUAAUGCCUAGGAAUCUGCCUGGUAGUGGGGGAUAACGUCCGGAAACGGGCGCUAAUACCGCAUACGUCCUGAGGGAGAAAGUGGGGGAUCUUCGGACCUCACGCUAUCAGAUGAGCCUAGGUCGGAUUAGCUAGUUGGUGGGGUAAAGGCCUACCAAGGCGACGAUCCGUAACUGGUCUGAGAGGAUGAUCAGUCACACUGGAACUGAGACACGGUCCAGACUCCUACGGGAGGCAGCAGUGGGGAAUAUUGGACAAUGGGCGAAAGCCUGAUACAGCCAUGCCGCGUGUGUGAAGAAGGUCUUCGGAUUGUAAAGCACUUUAAGUUGGGAGGAAGGGCAGUAAGUUAAUACCUUGCUGUUUUGAUGUUACCAACAGAAUAAGCACCGGCUAACUUCGUG